ACCUGCCGAAAGGCAGACUAAUACCGCAUGUUCUUCGAUGACGGCAUCAGAUUCGAAGCAAAGAUUCUUCGGUAACGGAGGGGGAUGCGUCUGAUUAGCUAGUUGGCGGGGCGACGGCCCACCAAGGCGACGAUCAGUAGGGGUUCUGAGAGGAAGGUCCCCCACAUUGGAACUGAGACACGGUCCAA
rnacentral:rRNA from 1 species